ACUCCUACGGGAGGCAGCAGUGGGGAAUAUUGCACAAUGGGCGAAAGCCUGAUGCAGCAAUGCCGCGUGUGUGAAGAAGGCCUGCGGGUUGUAAAGCACUUUUAUCGGGAAAGAAAAACCAGGGCUAAUACCCUUGGUCUUGACGGUACCCGUUGAAUAAGCACCGGCUAACUCCGUGCCAGCAGCCGCGGUAAUACGGAGGGUGCAAGCGUUAAUCGGAAUUACUGGGCGUAAAGCGCAUGCAGGCGGCCUGUUAAGUCAGAUGUGAAAGCCCGGGGCUUAACCUCGGAAUUGCAUUUGAAACUGGUAGGCUAGAGUCUUGUAGAGGGGGGUAGAAUUUCAGGUGUAGCGGUGAAAUGCGUAGAGAUCUGAAGGAAUACCAGUGGCGAAGGCGGCCCCCU
rnacentral:rRNA from 1 species